rfam:Candidatus Kaiserbacteria bacterium RIFCSPHIGHO2_01_FTLL_49_13 rifcsphigho2_01_scaffold_46203, whole genome shotgun sequence.
GUCCCCGUCGUUCAAUGGAUAGGACGGCAGCUUGCGGAGCUGCUGAUGCAGGUUCGAUUCCUGCCGGGGGCA